GACGGAAGGUGCAAGCGUUGCUCGGAAUCACUGGGCGUAAAGGGUGCGUAGGCGGCCGUGCAAGUCUGGCGUGAAAGCCCCGGGCUCAGCCCGGGAAGUGCGCUCGAAACUGCGCGGCUCGAGUGCCGGAGGGGAGAGUGGAAUUCCUGGUGUAGCGGUGAAAUGCGUAGAUAUCAGGAGGAAUACCGGUGGCGAAAGCGACUCUCUGGACGGCAACUGACGCUGAGGAGCGAAAGCGUGGGGAGCGAACAGG
rnacentral:rRNA from 1 species